ACUUAGAAGAAUGAGGGAGGGGUGGAUCUCAAGUGUUGAAAUGCCUGGGCAGAGUAGAGAUGGAAAGGAUGUUUCCCAUGAUGGGGGAGUCUAGGCCAAAAUGGCACAGGCUCAGGAUAGAGGGGAAGCAUUUAAAAUAGAGAUGUUGAGAAAUUUCUUUAUCCUGAGGGUGGUGAAUUUGUGGAAUUUGUUACAGGCAAUUGUGGAAGCCAAGUCAUUGGUUGUAUUUAAGGCAAAGAUUGAUGGUUCUUGAUUGGACACGGCAUCAAAGGUUACGGGAAAUAGGCAAGGGAAUGGGGUUGAGAACAGGAAAGAAGGAUCAGCCAUGAUUGAAUGGCAGAGCAGACUUCAUGGGCCAAAUGAACUAAAUCUGCUCCUAUGUCUUAUGAUCUUAUCUCAUUGAAACCAAUUAAAUAUUGAGAAGUCUAUAUAGAGUGGACGAGGAGAGGAUGUUGAUAGUGGGGGAGUCUAGGACCAGAGUGUACAGCCUCAGAAUAGAGGCACAUCCAUUUAGAACAGAGAUGAUGAAUUUCUUUAGCCAGAGGGGAGUAAAUCUGGAGAAUUCAUUACAGCAGAUGGCUGUGAAAGCCAAGUCAUAGUGUGGAUUUAAAGUGGAGAUUGGUAAAUUCUUGAUUAGUCAGAGCGUCAAAGGUUACAGGGAAAAAGACAGAAGAAUGGGGCUGAGAGGGUUAAUAAAUCAGCCACGAUGGAAUGGCACAGCGGACUUGAUGGGCUGAGUGGCCUAAUUCUGUUCCUUUAUCUUAUAGUCUUACAGUCUUACUCAAGUAUUUCUACCUCAACCACUAGCUCCCUGAGAAUCGUGAUCUUCAAGCAGCUCAUAUAUGAAUAAGUUCAAAGACAAGCUGAGCACCUCCACAGAGUUUAUUUACAGUGAAAUGUUUUUGGAUGGACUGCAAAGUUAAAGGCAACAGACUCUGAGAUCCAUUAAAAUUUUGGCUCUGGAGGCCUUUUGGCUCCUACCAGAAAGUGUCUGCAGCACAUAUGUGACUUGGUAAUGUUAAUACACAUUAUGUUAAGGACGUGGUCCAGCAUAUAGUUUGUGUUUCAUUUUGCAUAUGCUGGAUAUGUGAACGGGAGUGGUAUUGAGGCCAUGAUGUAAUUUUUUAAUGCAUGUUUCUAUCUAAUAUUCAAAACCAGUGCAAAUUUUUUUUGGAUAUGCAGCUGGCAGUGCAAUACUUUCAUAUUGUUAAGAAGUAUUUUUUUUUUAGUGCUUUCAUCUGUACAAAUCAGUUAUGUAUAAUGCAUAUCAUGUGUUUAGUAUCUUCUAUUACUCACUUGUACCAUUCAAAAGAAAGCCAAACUAAUAUUUAUUGAAUCCAUCAGCUCCAGUUGUUUGUAGCCAGUGACUGCACAAUUAACCAUAAAAAUGUCAUAACAGCUUCAGAUACAAAUUGAUCUAAUUUGGAAAAGAAUACUAAACAGUGCAAACACAACUACAUCCAAAUUCAAACAUACGCUGGUUACAGAUUUAUUUUACUUUCCUUCCCCUACCCCACCCACCCUCUGAUAUCCUCUCUAAGGCUAACUAAUAGAGAAAGCAUCAAGCUGCUAUGGUCUUGGCUGUCUUCUCCAGGGCAAUUACUCUGCCAAAUUCUCAGAUUACAGUCUCAACAUAUUUUAAUGAGCAACUUUGAAAGUCUGUUUAUAAUGUUUAGGGUUUUUGGAAGAUUCAACAUUUUGCGAUAGAAUGUAUAAGAAUAAGAAUGUGAUUCUCUUUUGUAAUAAUGGUAUUGUGUUAUAUCAAAAAGAGCCAUAUUCUAAAGUUACCACAUGGUUUAUAUGCAAAUAGUGCAACAUUUUCUUGUCUUGUGUGUUGGAUGACUCUGAUUUACAGUACCAUUAUAGUAUCAAGUGGAUUCAAAGCUUUCAUAAUGGAAAAAGAUUGCAGAUUGGUAAUGGGAGAGGAAGAAGGAUGACAUAUUCAUGAAAAGAAUGUGGAAUGUUUGGUCUGUCUCUUUCUAAUACUACAACAUCCAAUGUAAUCUCUCCCUGGGAGUAUAACUGAACUUUGGCAAGAGGUACAUUUUCAGGUAAAAAAACAUCUUUAAACAUUGAGGAGCUGAGUGGCUGUCAGGUAUUCUAUUGCUUUUACUGGGAAAUUGGAGAGGGGACUCUGGUAAUAAGUUCCAAAUGGAAAACAUUUUCUUACUUUCUAUAGAAUUCAGUUUAAUUAUUACGGUAAUAGCAUAAUUUUGAAAUUUUCCAUUAUUAAUAGAGGCCCAAGAAAAGGUACCAACAGUGAUGGCAUCCGUUAGUCUUGCGAGACCAUGGAUCUGCGCCUCGAAAAUCUGUUGGAGUGUCCUCUCCAGGACGCAGGCCUGGGCAAGGUUUUAUGGAAGUCCAGAAGUUGCCCAAGCAGCAAGUCUCCUCUCUCCAUGCCACCGAUGUUGUCCAAGGGAAGGGCAAGGGCAGGUACAGCUUGGCAUCAGUGACGUCGCAAAGGAUGGGUAGAUGGAGCUCGUCAGCCUGGGAAGGUAGUCCAUCUCAGAGAGGGAAAACUCUGAUUUCAAACCUCUGCUGCCUUACGGCCAUACCCACUUAUGGGAAAGGCUUCGGGAGUAAACCCUGAGGACAAAUCCGGAGCUGGAAUCCCUAAGGCAAAGUAUUCGGUGGUUCUGACUUCAGGUUUGGAAAAUGAAUCAGACAGUUCCAUUAAAAGUCUUCCCACAUCUUUAGAGACAAGAUCAACUGAGACCUAGAAUCUGCAUUGCAAUCAGAGGGAUGUCAGAUCCUGUGCCAGUUCUGACCAGGUGAACAGAGUGACGAUUUCCCAAGUGUAACAUUGGGGACUCCCAGUAAGACAGGAGAAUGGUGAAGGAAUGCAGUGACAGAUGUGGCGCCAUCUGUCACUCAGUAUGUCUCAUAAACUCAAAGCCUACUGUGUUUGACAACGCAUGCAUGCAAGUUGGAGACUUUUUGAAGUUUGAA